CGCGAUAAGUCGACCGCCUGGGGAGUACGGCCGCAAGGUUAAAACUCAAAUGAAUUGACGGGGGCCCGCACAAGCGGUGGAGCAUGUGGUUUAAUUCGAUGCAACGCGAAGAACCUCACCUACUCUUGACAUCCUGCGAAUUCGGUAGAGAUACCUUAGUGCCUUCGGGAACGCAGAGACAGGUGCUGCAUGGCUGUCGUCAGCUCGUGUUGUGAAAUGUUGGGUUAAGUCCCGUAACGAGCGCAACCCUUGUCCUUAUUUGCCAGCGAGUAAUGGCGGGAACUCUAAGGAGACUGCCGGUGACAAACCGGAGGAAGGUGGGGACGACGUCAAGUCAUCAUGGCCCUUACGAGUAGGGCUACACACGUGCUACAAUGGUCGGUACAAAGGGUUGCCAACUCGCGAGAGUGAGCCAAUCCCGAAAAGCCGAUCUCAGUCCGGAUCGGAGUCUGCAACUCGACUCCGUGAAGUCGGAAUCGCUAGUAAUCGUGGAUCAGAAUGCCACGGUGAAUACGUUCCCGGGCCUUGUACACACCGCCCGUCACACCAUGGGAGUGGACUGCACCAGAAGUGGUUAGCCUAACGCAAGAGGGCG
rnacentral:rRNA from 1 species